rnacentral:rRNA from 1 species
GACGUAGGAGGCGAGCGUUAUCCGGAUUCACUGGGCGUAAAGCGCAUGUAGGCGGUUGCACAAGUCCGCUGUUAAAGCCCCUGGCUCAACUGGGGGAGGUCAAUGGAGACUGUGCGACUUGAGGGCAAUAGAGGCACGUGGAACUCCCGGUGUAGCGGUGGAAUGCGUAGAGAUCGGGAAGAACACCAGUGGCGAAGGCGACGUGCUGGGUUGCACCUGACGCUGAGAUGCGAAAGCGUGGGGAGCAAACAGG